rnacentral:rRNA from 1 species
ACUCAAUAGAUACCCCGGUAGUCCACGCCGUAAACGAUGAUGACUAGCUGUCUGGGCGCUUAGCGUUCAGGUGGCGCAGCUAACGCGUUAAGUCAUCCGCCUGGGGAGUACGGCCGCAAGGUUAAAACUCAAAGAAAUUGACGGGGGCCUGCACAAGCGGUGGAGCAUGUGGUUUAAUUCGAAGCAACGCGCAGAACCUUACCAGUGCUUGACAUGGUAGGACGGCUUCCAGAGAUGGAUUCCUUCCCUUACGGGACCUACACACAGGUGCUGCAUGGCUGUCGUCAGCUCGUGUCGUGAGAUG